GAUGAACGCUAGCUACAGGCUUAACACAUGCAAGUCGAGGGGAAACGACAUCGAAAGCUUGCUUUUGAUGGGCGUCGACCGGCGCACGGGUGAGUAACGCGUAUCCAACCUGCCCAUCACUUGGGAAUAACCUUGCGAAAGUAAGACUAAUACCCAAUGAUAUCCCACGAAGGCAUUGGAAUGGGAUUAAAGAUUUAUCGGUGAUGGAUGGGGAUGCGUCUGAUUAGCUUGUUGGCGGGGUAACGGCCCACCAAGGCAACGAUCAGUAGGGGUUCUGAGAGGAAGGUCCCCCACAUUGGAACUGAGACACGGUCCAAACUCCUACGGGAGGCAGCAGUGAGGAAUAUUGAUCAAUGGGCGAGAGCCUGAACCAGCCAAGUAGCGUGCAGGAAGACGGCCCUAGGGGUUGUAAACUGCUUUUAUAAGGGAAUAAAGUGGGUCACGUGUGACUUUUUGCAUGUACCUUAUGAAUAAGGACCGGCUAAUUCCGUG
rnacentral:rRNA from 1 species